rnacentral:lncRNA from 1 species
AUUCAGUAGAACUUUAAGAAAUAUCCUAUUUAUCAGGUUUGUUUAUGGUCUUUGUUUUGUAUCUGACCAUGUUCCACUCUGCUUCUCCUGUAGAUCAUCUUUUUCAAGAAAUUCUUUACUCUGACUCAACUGACCCAAAACUAAGGCAAAGGAGAUUCUAGAGAGGAUCAUGUCUCGGGACCUCUAUAAGUGUUUGCUCGAAACAGAAGUGACUGUGUCUCCCUCAGCUCCUGUUCAUGUAAAUGCUGACACAUCCUGUUACCUUCAUACAGAAGUUAAAAAAGGUUUCACAUACCAGUCUGGAAGUCACUUAAGCUCCAACAUUUACCUCGUUCAUUCUCAGCCUGUCUGAGUUUUUUUUUGGCAUUGUAUUUUUAUGCAUUUUAGCAUUUUAUCUUGCAUUCAGAUUAUAUUUUCUAAAAUAAUAUUGUGGCUCAUUUAAAUACGAAACACAUUAUGUGACAGGUUGCUAUGAGGGCAGAGCCAGUCUGACAGGUGCAGUCAAGCUAUAAAAGCCAGGUUUUAAGCUUAAGUGUGUUUGUGCAGGUGUGUCCUCAUCAGCUGCAUUAAACUGUGAUCAGCUGCGUGAACAGAAUUAUUAUUGCUCAUAGUAAUAAUUAUUGUAAUCAGAUCUGCAUUAAAGACAUCUGUGAAGAAGCAAACAUCUUUAUUUGAGAUCAGAGACAUCAAAGUCAAUGGCUUCCUUCUGCAUCAAUGAGACGUGGACUAACCGUCAAGUAUGUGAACUCCUGGAACGAGCCGGACUUGAACAAACUAGAUUUGAAGAAGGAGGAAUCGAUGGUAAACAGGCGCUAAAACUCAAGCAUGAAGACCUGACAAGGAUGGGCAUAACGUAAAUGGGUUCACUUUGUUUUUAUCCACUUAAAUUCCCCUUCAUCCUCCUCAAGUUGUAUUUUCCUUUUUAUCUAGAGAUCGAAAGAAAAAUCUGGAAUACCUAAAUGUUAUCAAAAACCAACCCAAGGUGUUUAAUGAUCCUAUCCACGGAUCCAUCGAAUUACACCCAGUUCUUGUCAAAAUCAUUGACACGCCUCAGUUCCAGAGACUGUGGAACAUCAAGCAGCUUGGGGGCUCAUAUUAUGUUUACCCUGGAGCAUGUCACUCCCGCUUUGAGCACUCUAUUGGGUAUGUCUGCACUAAUACUGAUGUGUUUGUGAUAGUUAUCAUUAAUUUAAUGUAUUUUAGUCCCUGAAGACAAGCGUGUGUUGUUUGUGUUAUAGUGUCGCACACUUGGCAGGAGAGCUCGGAAAAAGUCUGAAAAACAAACAAAGUACUAUCAUCUCUGACAGAGACAUCCUUUGUGUGCAGAUUGCGGGUCUUUGUCAUGACCUUGGUGAGUGCUACACACUGUUUUUUCAAUAUAAACCUCAGAAAAAAACAGU